rnacentral:rRNA from 1 species
GAUGAACGCUGGCGGCGUGCCUAAUACAUGCAAGUCGAGCGAACGGACGAGAAGCUUGCUUCUCUGAUGUUAGCGGCGGACGGGUGAGUAACACGUGGAUAACCUACCUAUAAGACUGGGAUAACUUCGGGAAACCGGAGCUAAUACCGGAUAAUAUUUUGAACCGCAUGGUUCAAAAGUGAAAGACGGUCUUGCUGUCACUUAUAGAUGGAUCCGCGCUGCAUUAGCUAGUUGGUAAGGUAACGGCUUACCAAGGCAACGAUGCAUAGCCGACCUGAGAGGGUGAUCGGCCACACUGGACCGGAGACACGGUCCAGACUCCUACGGGAGGCAGCAGUAGGGAAUCUUCCGCAAUGGGCGAAAGCCUGACGGAACAACGCCGCGUGAGUGAUGAAGGUCUUCGGAUCGUAAAACUCUGUUAUUAGGGAAGAACAUAUGUGUAAGUAACUGUGCACAUCUUGACGGUACCUAAUCAGAAAGCCACGGCUAACUACGUG